rnacentral:rRNA from 1 species
UACGGAGGGGACUAGCGUUGUUCGGAAUUACUGGGCGUAAAGCGCACGUAGGCGGAUUUGUAAGUCAGGGGUGAAAUCCCGGGGCUCAACCUCGGAACUGCCUUUGAUACUGCAAAUCUCGAGUCCGGAAGAGGUGAGUGGAAUUCCUAGUGUAGAGGUGAAAUUCGUAGAUAUUCGGAAGAACACCAGUGGCGAAGGCGGCUCACUGGACUGGUAUUGACGCUGAGGUGCGAAAGCGUGGGGAGCAAACAGG